UAAGAUGGCUGAAGAUAAGCGGUGGAUUGUAGCUCCACAUAUAAAGGUUUAAGUCCUUUUCUUAU
rnacentral:tRNA from 1 species